GAUUUUACUAGAAAACAGCCGUCCCUGUUUAGAAGUAUUGCUGUCUGUGCAUCCCGGAGCUAUGGGGUGAGUGGGGAAGGCCCACAACUAGCUUGUCAGUAUCAGCAAAGGAGCAGCCGACAUCAGGACCAACGAGACGUGCUGGUGGCCCAUUAAGAAGAAUCCACUCUCCCAGAGACUUCUCGGCAAGGGCACGAUCCGUGAACAGCAAAACCUCCCUGUGUCUCUGGUCUGAGCCAGGGCAUUCGAUUCCAG